AGAACUAGAAGCUUUAUUAUAAGACGCCCAACAGUCUCCUAUUGAUGCGAAUAGCGGCCAUGGAUCAACACAUUUUCCGAACUUAGAUGUGGGUAACAAUGAAGAUUAAGCAAUGAAGAUUAAGCUGAUUAUUAUUGUGGUUUAUUGGCUUAGAUAGAGUGCUAUUUAGAAUCUUUACAUAUAUA